rnacentral:rRNA from 1 species
CGGGUGAGUAACGCGUGAGGAACCUGCCUCAAAGAGGGGGACAACAGGUUGGAAACGACUGCUAAUACCGCAUAAGCCCACGGGUCGGCAUCGACCAGAGGGAAAAGGAGUGAUCCGCUUUGAGAUGGCCUCGCGUCCGAUUAGCUAGUUGGUGAGGUAACGGCCCACCAGGGCGACGAUCGGUAGCCGGACUGAGAGGUUGAACGGCCACAUUGGGACUGAGACACGGCCCAGACUCCUACGGGAGGCAGCAGUGGGGAAUAUUGCACAAUGGGGGAAACCCUGAUGCAGCGACGCCGCGUGGAGGAAGAAGGUCUUCGGAUUGUAAACUCCUGUUGUUGAGGAAGAUAAUGACGGUACUCAACAAGGAAGUGACGGCUAACUACGUGCCAGCAGCCGCGGUAAAACGUAGGUCACAAGCGUUGUCCGGAAUUACUGGGUGUAAAGGGAGCGCAGGCGGGAAGACAAGUUGGAAGUGAAAUCCAUGGGCUCAACCCAUGAACUGCUUUCAAAACUGUUUUUCUUGAGUAGUGCAGAGGUAGGCGGAAUUCCCGGUGUAGCGGUGGAAUGCGUAGAUAUCGGGAGGAACACCAGUGGCGAAGGCGGCCUACUGGGCACCAACUGACGCUGAGGCUCGAAAGUGUGGGUAGCAAACAGGAUUAGAUACCCUGGUAGUCCACACCGUAAACGAUGAUUACUAGGUGUUGGAGGAUUGACCCCUUCAGUGCCGCAGUUAACACAAUAAGUAAUCCACCUGGGGAGUACGACCGCAAGGUUU